GAGAUACAACCAGUCAUAUGCACUAGAUAGAGAGAGGUUUGAGCUAGAAAAAAGAAGGGUUCAAGCUGAAGAAGCGAGGGCUGCAAAUGAGGCAAAAAAUCUUGAGAUAAAGGAACGUGAAUUGGAACACAAGGAAAAUGAACUACAGCACAAAAGAAUGUUAGAUGAAGAGAGAAUUAUGACAAUGGAGAUUGCUUCCUUACCUACUCUGCAACAGCAGUUCUACAAGAGCCAACAAUAUAAGAUCAUUGCUCGUCAUGUUUAAAAUAGCUCAACUGGACAGACCAGCUCCUUGGAAGAACAUGCUGAAUAUUUCAGUAGCAUUUCAGUUUGGUACAACUCCAAUUGAAGUUGUUGCUCUUCGAGGCACAAGCGAAGAUGUCGAUCUGUCAUCAUUGCCCUGUGUGGAAAUUUUCUUGGUUCUGUAAUUCAGUUGUAGUCAUGUUCCCAGUUUACUAGCUAAUGAACCUCAAGCUUGAGUUCAAAGAGAUCAUGAUACUGGUUUCAUAAUUUACCAGCCUUGGUAGCUGGAUCUGUCUGGACACAGUUGUGGUUUAUGUUUUUUCAUUCUUUUGGACCAUUCCGAAUCUCCCUGUUCAAUAUUACUAGGCUUGCUUGGACACAUUUGUUAAUGCAGCGGAAUUUCAAAUCUUA